rnacentral:rRNA from 2 species
AAGUCGAACGGUGAAGGUGGGGCUUGCUCUACCGGAUCAGUGGCGAACGGGUGAGUAACACGUGGGCAACCUGCCCCAGACUUUGGGAUAACUCCUCGAAAGAGGUGCUAAUACCGGAUAUGAACUUUGCAGGCAUCUGCGAAGUUGGAAAGUUUUUCGGUCUGGGAUGGGCCCGCGGCCUAUCAGCUAGUUGGUGAGGUAAUGGCUCACCAAGGCGACGACGGGUAGCCGGCCUGAGAGGGCGACCGGCCACACUGGGACUGAGACACGGCCCAGACUCC